UACGAAGGGGGCUAGCGUUGUUCGGAAUUACUGGGCGUAAAGCGCGCGCAGGCGGUUCUUCAAGUCAGAGGUGAAAGCCCAGAGCUCAACUCUGGAAUGGCCUUUGAGACUAGAGAACUAGGGUACGGGAGAGGUGAGUGGAAUUCCGAGUGUAGAGGUGAAAUGCGUAGAGAUGUGGAGGAAUACCGAUGGCGAAGGCAGCCCCCUGGGAUAACACUGACGCUCAUGCACGAAAGCGUGGGGAGCAAACAGG
rnacentral:rRNA from 1 species